ensembl:snRNA U6 U6 spliceosomal RNA
GUGCUCACUUUGGCAUCACAUACACUAAAGUUGCACCGAUACAGAGAAGACUAGCAUAGCCCUGUGCGAGGAUGACAUGCAAAUCUGUCAAAAGACAAGACACUCACUUAU